UGCCUGUGUUGCUAUUCCUGCUCAGAUGAAAGAAAUUCAAAUAGUUAUUGAUUGGCGCUGAGGGGAGAGUGCGGGGAUCCGGUCUGGCUCCGUUACAGCUGCACCCAGCCCCUGCCCGGCCUGCUUCCAGCCUUGGGCCCUCAGGCCCUGCUCUGGCUCCUGCCUCCAGCCUGUUCCCAGCCCCUGCCUGGGCACCUACCCUAGUCUUUGUCUUGGGGCAGCCAAAGGAGCACAUUUUAACAUGUGCUCAGUUAAAAACACUUCCUGACAUACGCUUUCAUUUAGAGCAGUCAUCAGGAGCAGUUCCAGCCGAGGAGAUACAAGCAGAAGUUGCUGGACAUGAGCCCGGACCCCAGCCUCAGCCCCAGGUGACGGGGACAGGCCAGGUGCUGCGAGGGCAAAAAAAAAAGCCCAGAGUCUGGCUGAGGUGCUGAGCUCACUGCUGACCCCACUCCCGAGGAGAUGUGCAGGAAUCAGCAGGAAGGGUCAUCGACCGCCAUCCGCAGCUGGGCCACGUGGGCUGCCUAUCGAUUGGAGGCCUCCCUCUCCCCACCCCUUCCUCAUCCCUCCCCGGAUGGGCAGCACAAGGAAACGGAAGCUCUGAGAGGUAUAGUGUCUUGACCGCUGUCACACAGGUGGUGUUGAGUGGAUUUGAACCCAACUCUGUUGGACCCCAAAGUCUCCGUGCUCCAUCGCUAUGAUACACUGCCAGUCUCCCCAUGAAACCAGGGAGAGGUUCUUGGAUGUGCCCGUAUCACAGAGUGUGAGUCUGACCAGGGAUAUGGAAGGACCCGUGAAUGCCACCUGGGUCUAAGGGAGGACCCUGGUCCUCAGCAAGAAACUCUUGCUCUUUGCUGGAGAAAGAAAAGAGGAAUGUUUGCCAGUGGUCUUCCUUCCCUGUGAGCUGUCUUGGUUUGGAGCCAGAAAAAGCUAACAGAGAAGAGCAAGAGAAUUAAUGUGGAUCGAAUAGGUCAAGAAAUUAUUGCAGAGGACCCCAAUUCACACAUGUAUCAUCAAACCGUGUUGAUAAGCCAGCACUUCUUAAAGCGUAUUCCAAAAUUAAAUGGUGUUACUCGGGAAACAAAGGCUUCUGUGGUCAAAUAAGUUCAGAAACUGCAGGACUCCCCAGAUCCUUUAUCAUGCGACUCUGAGGCUCCACGGGAGGGAGAGUAGACAGUUUCCUAAUCUUAUUGAAGCCAAGAAGGCUUCUUUUCUUUUUUCUUUCUUUAACAGAGCAUUUGGCUCAGUGCUUCUUGAAGUGUGAGUCCCCCAGCCACCUGCAUCAGAACCACCUGAGGGGCUUCUCAGAAAGGCAGACUCUUGGGGCCGGCCUGGUGGCCUAGUGGUUAUGCUUGCACACUCUGCUUCGGUGGCCCAGGAUUCGUGGGUUCAGAUCCCAGGUGCGGACCAAUACACUGCUUGUCAAGCCAUGCUGU
rnacentral:lncRNA from 1 species